rnacentral:rRNA from 1 species
CCUACGGGAGGCAGCAGUGGGGAAUAUUGCACAAUGGGGGAAACCCUGACGCAGCGACGCCGCGUGAGGGAAGAAGGCUUUCGGGUUGUAAACCUCUUUUAAUAGGGAAGCGCAUAAGACUGUACCUCUUACAUCAGCCAGGGCCAACUACGUGCCAGCAGCCGCGGUAAUACGUAGGUGGCAAGCGUUGUCCGGAUUUACUGGGUGUAAAGGGCGCGUAGCCGGACGGACAAGUCAGAUGUGAACUCCGGGGGCUCAACCCCCGAACUACAUUUGAAACUGUAGGUCUGGAGUAAUGGAGAGGCAGGCGGAAUUCCUAGUGUAGCGGUGAAAUGCGUAGAUAUUAGGAGGAACACCAGUGGCGAAGGCGGCCUGCUGGACAGCAACUGACGGUGAGGCGCGAAAGCGUGGGGAGCAAACAGGAUUAGAUACCCGAGUAGUC